GAAACGGUGAAAUAUGGAAUUAAAUAUCGCAGUAUUCAAUCAUAAUCGAUAUAAUUUCCUAUAGUCGAUCUAUCAUAUUAGAAUGUAACACAAAAGCGUCAGUUUUAAGCGGGAAACAUUGCAAGAAGAAACAUGAACAAUUCAUCCAGAAGUUAUUAGAUUUCUUCCAGCCUUCACUUCUUCCAUGAAGUUCGGUGAUUCCUAUGUAAUGGUGGCUUCACGAUAACUUUCUGUAGGCCACGAUAAUAUUGAUAACGGCGUUCUUCGCAUCUAAUCAUUGAUUACCCAAUAGCCGCUUGUUCCCAUAGAGUGUCGGCUUGGAGUGCGUGUCGUUUUCUCUCCUCGCACGGUCCAUCGAGGUGAACGCGCGAUUUCCAC